UUAGAGGCAAACGGGUGGACCCGCAAUACGUCGACCCGGGGGAUUCAACCAGGCCGUGCGUUCGGGACGCGUGGGGGUCAUGCGGAGCUGUAAAGCCCGUGCCUUUGCGCAGGUCUCCGGGCGGACUGGUGCACUUUCCUCGGGUUGAUUGCCACGACCGGCUCUCCGUGCGGCCACAAGCCUUUGCUGGGAAGGUGACCGUCGGCCUCCGCGCCGGCGGUGUUAUAGACCAGCUUGUUCGUUGAGCUCGUCGGAGGGCCGAGGAAGUGUUGCCGUUUCUCGUCCACCCUCCGGCCAUCCUUGCUCGUCACGACUGGGGUGAACUGCUCCGUCAGUGCUCUCCCGACCGCGAGCGUAGGAAGGGCUGGUACGGUGCGAGAAAGCUUCGGGCCAGUGGCGAAUCGGUCGGUCCUCCACCCGACCCGUCGUGA
rnacentral:rRNA from 1 species